CGCCUCCGCCGCGCCUUGCCAGGCGGUCCCCUAAGACACCGGGAAUGCCGCUGCCGCUGCCGGCACCGCCGCCGCCGUCGUCCUCGGCGAUAUAAUCGCUGCCGGCGGCGGAUGAUGUUAAGCUGAACGUAACAGCGCCAUCGGAGUCACUCUCGUAACCGCCAUCUCCGAACAUCCAAGACCCAAAUCCCACAAGACUCCCGCCGGCGCCACCAUCGCCGCUGCCGCCGCCGGAGCUACCUGCCAUGGGCUCCUCCCUUCCGCCUCCGCCGCCAUCACUGCAGCCCGGCCGUCGGUCGUACACAUCCUCCGUAGCACCGGCCGCCGCAACAGCAUUCAUUCCGCCAGCGGCAGCGCCCACUGCAUCGACGGCGGGGCCGGCACCGCCGCUGCCGCCAGCACCCGCAGACGAAGCUGUAGCGUCGCCGCCGCCGCCACCAAAACUUGAAGAACAUCCGGCUCCUGUAGCGGCCACCGCCGCCGCAUCAUCAGCAGCUGCCGAUAGCGCUGCAGAGGCCGGUCCUCUUUCCCCGCCAACACCUCCUUCCCUGAGCCCUCCAGGAAACGGACAAAGGAGUGGACGCCACACGUUUCCACCGCCGC
rnacentral:lncRNA from 1 species